CCACCACCAACAAAAUUGUACUCAAUGGUUACGCGUUGACUUUCGUCAAAAACAUUGUGGAAAUGUGUUUUCUCUCUCGUUACAUAAGUACCUCUGUAGUAACUUUCAGUUUGCCUCUGGGCCCACGGAAACCUCAAAUAUUUUCCUAUCUGGCCCUUUUUGGAAAGAGUUUCCCUGCACUGGCCCUGGACUUAGGUUUCUGAAUGAGGAAAUUGCACCGUUAAAGAGAAUUAACUGCCUUUUGGCUCCGGCCAGCAGUGAUGUUUUCCCCAUUUCAGAAGAGGAGAGGGGAAAGCUUCGUGGUGUUCCCUGGCAUUGGGGAAAUAAAUGGGGUGUACCCAGGAAGACGUGAUUUUCAAAGCUAAUUAUGAAAACAUUUGUCAUUGGAAUCAGUGGGGUCACCCUCCCCGUGGUACCAGAGGUAUGCAUGCAAAUAAGACACCAACAACAGCUCCAAAGGACUUUGUUUGGCUGCAUUUUUGUGUACAUCUUUCUUCUGAGUACCUUCAUACUAGGGUAACAAAUGGCGGGAAGACAACACUGGCUAAGAAGUUGCAGAAACACCUCCCAAACUGCAGUGUCAUCUCUCAGGAUGAUUUCUUUAAGCCACAGUCAGAGAUAGAGACAGAUACAAACGGAUUUCUGCAGUAUGACGUGCUUGAAGCGCUUAACAUGGAAAAAAUGAUGUCUGCCAUUUCCUGCUGGAUGGAAAGCCCAAGACACUCUCCGGUAUCAACAGACUCCGGUAGCACCGAGGAAAUUCCCAUAUUAAUCAUUGAAGGCUUCCUUCUCUUUAACUAUAAGCCCCUUGACGCUCUGUGGAACAGAAGCUACUUUCUGACAAUUCCUUAUGAAGAGUGUAAGAGGAGGAGGAGUUUCCUCUGUAUUUUGAUAGUACAAGGGUCUACGAGCCCCCAGACGUCCCAGGGUACUUUGAUGGCCACGUGUGGCCCAUGUAUCUGAAGCACAGACAAGAAAUAGAGAACAUCACGUGGGAGAUUAUUUACCUAGAUGGAACCAAAUCAGAAGAGGACCUCUUUUCACAAGUGUAUGAAGAGCUAAAACAAGAACUAGCAAAGCAUAAGUGCUUGCAAGUAACAACAUAAAGUCGGAGUGCGCGGAAUCCUUCCUGGGAUGAAUUAGGAAACUCAAAGGAGUGUAUCUGAGAACCUUAACCAAGAUUCAACAAGUGCUUUGGUCUGAUAACAGCUGCUGGUUCGUUUGUUUGUGUUAUCACACGUGGUUUCUCUGACAUGUGGAACAGUAAAUGGUUAUCCACACACCACCAGACAGGGAUUUACCUUCAUGAGUUGUUCUUCCUCUAAGAUGUACGGAGAGAUAGCAUAGCUCACAAUGAGUCAGUUCGUCCGGACCAAUGAUUGUCAAACUUUUCUGAAUGGGACCCAGAGUACAAAAUAAGAUUCAUCACAAUCCAGUAUUUAUGUAAUCUCUUGUGCUUGAAUGUGGCUGUGUGUGUGUGUGUGUGUGUGUGUAUACACACCUAUCAAGUAUCACAAAGCAUUUACCUUAGAUUCAAUGCACACCGAUAUUUUUCUAUUUUUAAAUUCAUUUUAAAUAUUCUUUACCAUCUAAUAUCAAUGCCUAUUUCCUACAAAUAAAGGCUUUAGUGAGAGUAGCAGUCACAUUGAAUAGAUCAACAAUUUACCUAGAGUGUCCUUCUUGUGUGUGUUUUGUUACUGUUUCUUACAUGUGUGUAAAACCACUGGAUCAUUGUGUCACUUGUUUUGAUACUUUGUUAUAAUAGGGAGUAUUUUUGUUGUUGAUGUUUUAUUUUAUUUCUGUCAAACCAAUGGUCUAAAGUCACAGAAACCACUUAUGGUUACUCAGAAGAUCUGAAUUGUAUAAUUUUGGGGGGCCUUCUUCAACGCUGGAAUUUAAAUAUCUACUGUAUUGAUCGACCUCUUAUUUUUUAAGAGAUUGCUCCCAAUCCUCCCAAUCUUUACAAAUAGAAAUAUAUUGUUACAUUAACGUUAAUUGAUCUUUA